GUCUACAUAGCUAGUACACCACUCAGCUGGCGCAGCUGCUAAAGCACCACUUUGGUAGCUUUAGCGGCAAGCGUUAAAGCACCACUAGGCUGCUUCAGCGACUGACUACCAGUUUAGCAAGGUCACUUUAGCAUCCCUCUAUUGCUUUAGAGGAGGGUGCUAAAGCGGACAUUUUCUGCUUUAGUAGACUGACAUGCUAAGCGGGCAUCGCUAAAGCGGUA
rnacentral:lncRNA from 1 species